AUUGAACGCUGGCGGCAUGCCUUACACAUGCAAGUCGAACGGUAACAGGUCUUCGGAUGCUGACGAGUGGCGAACGGGUGAGUAAUACAUCGGAACGUGCCCGAUCGUGGGGGAUAACGAAGCGAAAGCUUUGCUAAUACCGCAUACGAUCUACGGAUGACAGCAGGGGACCGCAAGGCCUUGCGCGAACGGAGCGGCCGAUGGCAGAUUAGGUAGUUGGUGGGAUAAAAGCUUACCAAGCCGACGAUCUGUAGCUGGUCUGAGAGGACGACCAGCCACACUGGGACUGAGACACGGCCCAGACUCCUACGGGAGGCAGCAGUGGGGAAUUUUGGACAAUGGGCGAAAGCCUGAUCCAGCCAUGCCGCGUGCAGGAUGAAGGCCUUCGGGUUGUAAACUGCUUUUGUACGGAACGAAAAGACUCUGGUUAAUACCUGGGGUCCAUGACGGUACCGUAAGAAUAAGCACCGGCUAACUACGUG
rnacentral:rRNA from 1 species